GUGCUCGCUUCGGCAGCACCUAUACUAAAAUUGGAACAAUACGGAGAAGAUUAGCAUGGCCCCUGCGCAAGGAGAAUUAGAAUGAAGAAUAAAGAAUACACACAAAA